rnacentral:rRNA from 1 species
CCUACGGGAGGCAGCAGUGGGGAAUAUUGCACAAUGGGGGAAACCCUGAUGCAGCGACGCCGCGUGAGUGAAGAAGUAUUUCGGUACGUAAAGCUCUAUCAGCAGGGAAGAAAAUGACGGUACCUGACUAAGAAGCCCCGGCUAACUACGUGCCAGCAGCCGCCGUAAUACGUAGGAGGCAAGCGUUAUCCGGAUUUACUGGGUGUAAAGGGAGCGUAGACGGCAGCGCAAGUCUGGAGUGAAAUGCCAUGGCUUAACCAUGGAACUGCUUUGGAAACUGUGCAGCUAGAGUGCAGGAGAGGUAAGCGGAAUUCCUAGUGUAGCGGUGAAAUGCGUAGAUAUUAGGAGGAACACCAGUGGCGAAGGCGGCUUACUGGACUGUAACUGACGUUGAGGCUCGAAAGCGUGGGGAGCAAACAGGAUUAGAUACCCUGGUAGUC